AUGUGUCAGUGGAGUAUUUUUUGGGGCCUGUGGUGAAGGCCAGUCAGCUUAUUUUUCAAGCUGUUCUCUCGGUCAAGAAGCAUUUACUGCAGCUGUGACUGUGCAUGAAGAGUUCAUGCUCCAAAAACAACAGAUACGUGCAACCCUGAAUUUAUAGGCUGCUUUUGAUUUGUCUUUUUAUGUGAGAGCUGCAAGAAGAAGCCAAGUUACACAAGAUCACAAUUACACAGCACUAACUUACAAAAUACCACUGGAGUCAGAUGUAAUAGAUGCUUUCAUCAGUGAUUUGUCUUGAACUUCAAGAAGAAAUCAGAUGUGGAGGCAGAAAUGCAGCUUAAACUCACGUCACGGUUAUGUAACAGCACAGAUUCUUUCAUCCCUGAAAACUUUUAAGUAGAACAUUUGCAUGAAUGUGCUGUGAUUCAGGCAGAGGAAUGCAGCUAUGUGAAAUCAGUAAUGGCUGUCGAGUAAAACCGGAAAUUAUUCCUAUCAUGCCAUUCCAUACGAUCCUGCUGGAUAACCUCUGCUCGUGGGCAGAGGUCCUAAUCUCCGUACCCGAAAGCAGGAGGCUAAAUAUGGCACGAACGUCCAGAGGCUCUGCCAAGACGUUGGACUGCUGCUGCAGCUCUGCACCUGCUGCCUGGGAGACCAGACCUCCUCCCCCCUCUGCUCCUCUUCUGACCCUCAGCUUCCUCUCGGAGACUAACCUCCCCACGACCACAGGAGUCCCGUUCAGCGCCGCCAACCAGGCGCCGCGGAGCCUGAGACGAGGCUCUGGUUCAGUCUGAUAUUCACUGCUGGCAACUGAGACGCCCCGUCAUCGUCCUCUCCAAGUCCUCUGCUGCUGGCUCAGAGCAAACAGCAGAAAAACAAUGAGCUGCAGCGGUGUCUGAUUACCACCCAUUCAGAGACUAUCUUUAUUAAAGACGAGGUGUUCAUGAGAGGUUGUCACAAAUGUUUUCUUCCUGUAUCCUGUGACCUGCAGCUUCACAAAGUUCAGAUUUUUUUUAGUAGACCUCCAGAGGUGUUGAGACAGCAGGUUAUGAAGAACACAGGCACAACUAUAAAUCAGUUUCAUCAAAGUCUGAACUUUUCAGAUUUGGGCCUAAAUUAAAUCAGAGGUAAAGCAGAGUGUAACAGAGCUUUGGCUUUUACAUCAUCCUCUGUUAAAUCAACUGUCCAUCAUCCAGUCUGACUCGUUACAGAUCAUUUAGGAUUUAUUUCCAGACUGGAAACUUUGCAGGACUCUGCUGUACCUUUAACUGAAUUCAACCUUUAGGCCAGGGCUUGGACAUGGACUUUUUUUGCUCAGCAGCCAUGUUGGCUAGUGGUUUUCCAAUCCUUCUAGCCACUUCCAGCAUUUUUGCUACUCUCUUUAAUAUGAAUGACCACUGAAAAGACCCAAAUUAAGACUUUGUAAGAUGUUUAUGACUUAAGUACAAGUAAUGAAACACUCAGCUCUGAUGAAGUAAAGCUCCUUUAGCAUGAAAACAUGCAACCGAUUAAGACAAAGGCACAAAAAGAGUUAAUUGUUUAGUUCACUGUCCUCACCCCCACAAUUUAUUACACAGAAGUAUGUACCUGAUUUAUGUGAUUUAUUUCAGCUCAAUGUGAGAGUGUGUUGAUGUAGUAAAAGACCAAUCAGAGGCGGUUGCUAGGCGGAACAGGGUCAGCUGGCCAACUGGCGUUUUCGCUGCCGCUGGCUUUCGUGUGUUUUCAUUGGCUGCGUUGUGUGUCGUCAUCGGUCAUGACCUUGUGGGCGGAGCCCUGAGAGGCAGAGAGGCGGAGAAACGAAGCCAGGAAAACAGAUUUAAACCAACAUGAGAGCUGUUGCCUCUGUUUGUCAGUACUGUGAGAAAACUGGAUUACUGAAGAAGCCUGCAUACUAAAGCAAGCUUUGGAGCUGCUUUUUGUCGAACGAGUGAAGAUGGACGCUGAACACGGCACGAAGGUGUCACCACUUCAUCCACGAUCACAGGGACGUCGUCCACGAUCAGAGUCUUCGUACAAUAUAGUUCUUUGAGACCAGGACAGAGACCUCCAGACUUCUCAGCUCUUCUUCUCAUCCUACACCAAGAGCAGCUACCUUUGCAAAUACACCGAAGGAACUGAUCUCCUCAACAGUACUGAAGCCACACAGCCAGAACAACUACAGUUUAAUGGACCACGACAGCAACAACAGGACUUUACAAAGCAGUGCACCAAAUGCUGUCUUCUUUACCUUAUGUUGUAUGUCACACCUUGUCUAAGCAUAGGAUGUCAGUCUAUGUAUGAUGAUUCAGCAUAUUACUUAAGUUUGUUGUUGUGUAUGUUUACAGUCAGGUUACUGAUUGUUCACAUGUUUACACAUGACUCAGUGUAUUGCGUGUAAGUUACGCACCUCCCUCUUUGACCUGCCCUUUCCUGACUUAAAUAAAGGAACACUCCUUUGUUAAUCCCCCCCAUAUGUCAUGAAGUCAGUCCCAGAGGCCAUCUUCUGAUUCAGCCAUCUUGAUUAUAAAUCCUUUGUUCAAUUCAGUUCAAUUCAAUUUUAUUUACAUUGUGCCGAAUCACAACAAAAGUAAUCUCAAGGCACUUUUCAUAUAGAGCAGGUCUAGACCAUACUCUUUAGAUUGUUGUAAGCCAUGCAGCUUAUGACAAAGGAACUAUCUUAAAGCAGCCGUCUUAGCCUUGUUUUCCACAGACACACACCUCUACAGUGUUUGUAGGUUAGGUUAGAUUUUGUGUUUGUAAUUUCAUUUGUCACAUGGUACGACUCCAACCACCUGCACCUCAACACCACCAAGACCAGGGAGAUGGUGGUGGACUUCAGGAGGCCCAGGCCUCACCCAGAACCUGUGUGCAUUAAAGGUAACUGUGUGGAGUUUGCACAGACAUACAAAUACUCAGGAGUAAUGCUGGAUGAUAAACUGGACUGGACUGCAAACAUGGAUGCUUGUGCAGGAGAGGACAGAGCCGACUGUACUCCCUCAGAACGCUGGCGUCCUUCAGCAUCUGCAACAUCCACUGCACAACAUCGUCUCCAGACAGAGAAGCAGCUUCCUGCUCCACGGACAGACUGAGGGGAUCAUUCCUCCUCCACGCCAUGCGGCUCUUUAAUUCCACAAGGGGGGGAAACGUUAAUUUAAACUGCUCUGAUGGACUACACACUUCAUACAGACACACACACACACUGUACACCAUGCACCUUAAAUAUGGCAUUCUGUUUGCACUGGACUUGAAGUUUCUUCACUGUGUUUUUUAUUAGCAGUGUUUUUAUUAUUCCCAGUAUUUAUUGCAUGCCUUCGACCUUUUAUCUUAAGUCUGUUGAUGCUGCUGGAACUGUGAAUUUCCCGUGUGGAUUAAUAAAGUAUAAAGUAAUAAAGUAUUUUGGUAUUUGUUUAAAUAAAAACUUCUGUACACUGA